rnacentral:hammerhead_ribozyme from 1 species
GCUUUGCUAAUGAGUCCCACAAUAGGACGAAACGGCCGUCCAGUGC